rnacentral:tRNA from 1 species
GCCCGAAUGGUGGAAUCGGUAGACACACUGGACUCAAAAUCCAGCGAGGUAAAACUCAUGACGGUUCAAGUCCGUCUUCGGGUACCA